GCACCCGUGGCACAAAUUGGUUAGCGCGUGGGACUCAUGAUUCCAAGGUUCCGGGUUCAAGUCCCGGCGGGUGCU